CCUACGGGAGGCUGCAGUGGGGAAUAUUGGGCAAUGGGCGCAAGCCUGACCCAGCAACGCCGCGUGAAGGAAGAAGGCUUUCGGGUUGUAAACUUCUUUUCUCAGGGACGAAGAAAGUGACGGUACCUGAGGAAUAAGCCACGGCUAACUACGUGCCAGCAGCCGCGGUAAUACGUAGGUGGCAAGCGUUAUCCGGAUUUACUGGGUGUAAAGGGCGUGUAGGCGGGAAAGCAAGUCAGAUGUGAAAACCAUGGGCUGAACCUGUGGCCUGCAUUUGAAACUGUUUUUCUUGAGUACUGGAGAGGCAGACGGAAUGCCUGGUGUAGCGGUGAAAUGCUUAGAUAUGAGGAGGAACACCAGUGGCGAAGGCGGUCUGCUGGACAGCAACUGACGCUGAGGCGCGAAAGCGUGGGGAGCAAACAGGAUUAGAUACCCUAGUAGUC
rnacentral:rRNA from 1 species